GGAAGGACUCCCAAACGGUGCUCAGCACCUCUGCCGUGCAGGAAGCGUCCACAUCCCCGUGCUAACCUGUGCAAACAGCUGGAGGUGGGACAGCCCUAGCCAGGGGAGGAGGAGUCCGCACCCUGCAAGUGUAGAGAGACUUACUACAGAUAAGAAGAUUGUAACCUAUCGAUGGCCAAUUCCCUUUAACCUGUAAUGUGCAUGAUCGGUCCAGCCCUCACCUCUCAGAUCAGCUGCUCUCCUUCCACUGAGUGAGCCCCCCAUCCCUGUCUUCCCUUUGCUGCUGGCUAUAUCCAACCCUUGGACCCAAGGAGGCGCCUAUAUGAUUAUACGGUUGGUGCAUCUGGAUUCCCCUUCUUCCUGCUCUGUUUGCACCCUUAGAGGUGACUGCAAGGUGUGGUGCUGG